UACGUAGGGUGCAAGCGUUAAUCGGAAUUACUGGGCGUAAAGGGUGCGUAGGCGGUUCGUUAAGUCUGUUGUGAAAUCCCCGGGCUCAACCUGGGAAUGGCGAUGGAUACUGGCGAGCUAGAGUGUGUCAGAGGAUGGUGGAAUUCCCGGUGUAGCGGUGAAAUGCGUAGAGAUCGGGAGGAACAUCAGUGGCGAAGGCGGCCAUCUGGGACAACACUGACGCUGAGACGCGAAAGCGUGGGGAGCGAACAGG
rnacentral:rRNA from 1 species